CGGUGAAUACGUUCCCGGGUCUUGUACACACCGCCCGUCACACCAUGGAAGUUGGUUCUACCUUAAGCCGCCAUUUCAAACCGGCGACCACGGUAGGGUCAAUGACUGGGGUG
rnacentral:rRNA from 1 species